CCUACGGGUGGCUGCAGUGGGGAAUUUUGCGCAAUGGACGAAAGUCUGACGCAGCAACGCCGCGUGGGUGAUGAAGGUCUUCGGAUCGUAAAACCCUGUCGUCAGGGACGAAGGUUGCAUGUCUAAUAGAUGUGCAGCUUGACGGUACCUGGAGAGGAAGCCCCGGCUAACUCUGUGCCAGCAGCCGCGGUAAUACAGAGGGGGCAAGCGUUAUGCGGAAUUAGCGGGGGUGAAGGCUGCGUUGAGAUUGGUAAUCCCCGAGCUUAACUUGGGAACUGCAUCUCAGACUGGGGCGCUAGAGUGCUGGAGAGGGUGGUGGAAUUCCACGUGUAGCGGUGAAAUGCGUAGAGAUGUGGAGGAACACCAGUGGCGAAGGCGGCCACCUGGACAGUAACUGACGCUGAGGCGCGAAAGUGUGGGGAGCAAACAGGAUUAGAUACCCCAGUAGUC
rnacentral:rRNA from 1 species